AACCGCGGUUAUACGAGAGGCCCUAGUUGAUAUUUACGGCGUAAAGAGUGAUUAAGAAAUUUAUAUAAAUAAAGUCAAAUGUUUUCUUAGCCGUUAAACGCCUAUGACAAUAUGAAGCUCCACUACGAAAGUAACUUUAAUAAUUCCUGACUCCACGAAAGCUAAGAAA
rnacentral:rRNA from 1 species